rnacentral:rRNA from 1 species
AUUGAACGCUGGCGGCAUGCCUUACACAUGCAAGUCGAACGGUAACAGGUUAAGCUGACGAGUGGCGAACGGGUGAGUAAUGUAUCGGAACGUGCCCAGUCGUCGGGGAUAACUGCUCGAAAGAGCAGCUAAUACCGCAUACGACCUGAGGGUGAAAGCGGGGGAUCGCAAGACCUCGCGCGAUUGGAGCGGCCGAUAUCAGAUUAGGUAGUUGGUGAGGUAAAGGCUCACCAAGCCGACGAUCUGUAGCUGGUCUGAGAGGACGACCAGCCACACUGGGACUGAGACACGGCCCAGACUCCUACGGGAGGCAGCAGUGGGGAAUUUUGGACAAUGGGCGCAAGCCUGAUCCAGCCAUGCCGCGUGCGGGAAGAAGGCCUUCGGGUUGUAAACCGCUUUUGUCAGGGAAGAAAAGGUUCUGGCUAAUACCUGGGACUCAUGACGGUACCUGAAGAAUAAGCACCGGCUAACUACGUG